GACGAACGCUGGCGGCGUGCUUAACACAUGCAAGUCGAACGGAAAGGCCCUGCUUGCAGGGUACUCGAGUGGCGAACGGGUGAGUAACACGUGGGUGAUCUGCCCUGCACUUCGGGAUAAGCUUGGGAAACUGGGUCUAAUACCGGAUAGGAACCAUCUUUAGUGUGGUGGUUGGAAAGUUUUUUCGGUGUAGGAUGAGCUCGCGGCCUAUCAGCUUGUUGGUGGGGUAAUGGCCUACCAAGGCGGCGACGGGUAGCCGGCCUGAGAGGGUGUACGGCCACAUUGGGACUGAGAGACGGCCCAGACUCCUACGGGAGGCAGCAGUGGGGAAUAUUGCACAAUGGGCGCAAGCCUGAUGCAGCGACGCCGCGUGGGGGAUGAAGGCCUUCGGGUUGUAAACGCCUUUCGCUAGGGACGAAGCUUUUUGUGACGGUACCUAGAGAAGAAGCACCGGCUAACUACGUG
rnacentral:rRNA from 1 species